GAUGAACGCUGGCGGCGUGCCUAAUACAUGCGAGUCGAGCGAACGGACGAGAAGCUUGCUUCUCUGAUGUUAGCGGCGGACGGGUGAGUAACACGUGGAUAACCUACCUAUAAGACUGGGAUAACUUCGGGAAACCGGAGCUAAUACCGGAUAAUAUUUUGAACCGCAUGGUUCAAAAGUGAAAGACGGUCUUGCUGUCACUUAUAGAUGGAUCCGCGCUGCAUUAGCUAGUUGGUAAGGUAACGGCUUACCAAGGCAACGAUGCAUAGCCGACCUGCGAGGGUGGUCGGCCACACUGGAACUGAGACACGGUCCAGACUCCUACGGGAGGCAGCAGUAGGGAAUCUUCCGCAAUGGGCGAAAGCCUGACGGAGCAACGCCGAGUGAGUGAUGAAGGUCUUCGGAUCGUAAAACUCUGUUAUUAGGGAAGAACAUAUGUGUAAGUAACUGUGCACAUCUUGACGGUACCUAAUCAGAAAGCCACGGCUAACUACGUG
rnacentral:rRNA from 1 species